rnacentral:tRNA from 1 species
GGGGUCGUAGCUUAGUUGGUAGAGCGCCUGCUUUGCAUGCAGGAGGUCGUCGGUUCGAAUCCGAUCGGCUCCACCA